CUGUAUGUAUGAAAGUAUUAUGAUUUGCAAGACAGAAGAAAGGUAAGUUUUUUGUUUAUUUAACCCCUCCCCCUGCCCUACUUUUAUUUUGACUCAGUUAUGUGCCACUAUGUUUCCACAUAAAUAUCUCAUGCUACCAAUUAUUUUUUCUAUAGUUUUGCAAUUCUGACGGAUGUGAAUGGUGCCAUGUUAACUGCUGGAUGAAACUAAAUGGUUGUUACAGCCAAAAUAUAAUAUGGAUAUGUUACUGUACAUCUCAUGAAAAUGGAUAGGAGCUUCUGGAUUAACAGAAAUGUAUUUCUAUUAAAACAAGAAUGAUUUACAAGAUUGGAUAUAUUACAAUACAUCUAAUGCAAUGGGAUAUGGAAUCUGCUAUGUAUUAUUGAAUUACUGUACUUGUUUCCAAUCUACAGUACCAUAUGGAUAUCAGGAACAUUGUACACUAUGUCUACUAUGUCAAGAUAUUACAUACCUUCAUAUGUACGGUAACCUAACAAGCUAUUGGACAAUAUGAUGGCCAACAAUGGACACUACCUGUACAUGCUAAAUAAAUACGAAACAUCUGCAUAUUGGACAAAUAACCACGAAUGGCACGGUCUCGUUUACCAAUUGGAAAAUACAGUAGACUAUUAUUACUUGGAAAGAAUAUGAAAACUUUCAACAAACUAAUCAUAUCACGUUAAAAGACAUAUGUUUGUUCUUCCUUCCUUGUCAAGUGAAGACGGUUUAAAACAUUGGUACCAACAAUAACAUGUGUAUAAAUAUGAAAAUCCGAAGUACAGUUUACAGUAUAUAAUAAUUAUUGCACUAUUAAACAAAAUAAAUUCAUACAUACAGUGUAUAUAUAUAACGCAAUUUAAAUGAAUGAAGUUUUUUGAUAUUAUCAAUCCCCAAGACUUUCGGUCGUAAGGCAGCACUUCCCUUGCGAUAGUAACUUCUAGUUUAUCCACAAUCUACCAGAUACCGAUGCUGAUCAGUUUACAAUGACGUCAUAAUAUCAGUCGACCGAGUAAAGGUGACAUCAUUCAUGUCGAUUUUUUAACGAUAAUUUCCAACGCAACAUGUUACUGCAACCAAAG